AACAGAUUCAUUAUUCUUGCGGUGGCAUUUAGAGGUUCCAGCGGAGAGCUAUGCUGUGCCUAAAUGAUAUGUUUGCGGAUGAAUUCCUUAAUUACUUGCUCCAUUAUCUUCCCCGGCACAUAGCUGAGCCCCAGUGUGAUCUUGAAACCAGUGCUGCAGCAGAAAGGUAUCUUGAAUCAACAGAGCAAGUGCAUUAGAGAAAGGAGGUGGAAAUCCAGUUUCCUCCUAAUAGGAGUGAAGCCUGACUAGGAACUUGGGGUUGCAGAGGGAAGAGAGCUCCAAUUUGAUUUGCAAAUACUAAUCUCUGUUGCCAUUUGCAGAAAUAAAGCCCAUAUGCCUACCGAGCAAUUGCUGU